CUCGUAGGCUGGAGCUCGGGCGAGCCUGAGACAGGGGCCUGGAGCUCGGGCUUGGGCUCAGGCGAGCCUGAGGCUCUGGAAAGGGGGGAGGGGCAAUUCCCCACCUGUUUUCUCAACCCCAACUGUCCCCAAACCACGUCCCCUGCUGGCUGGCCCGUAAGGACUCACGAGAAGAUGGACUCGGCUCUGGGGUCGGCCGGGCCGUGGGGUCACACCUGCGGCUGCCCUCCUCCCCUGUCAUGCUGGUAACGACAUCUCCGUCUCCUCCUCGUGGGACUCCGAGACUUGGGGUUCUUGGGGGGCACCCGCUCCCCUGAGAGUGGGUUACUGCUGGUCCCCAGCUCAGCCACGGACGCCAUGGGAUCACUCACGUAGGCCUUGGUAGACGAGGGAAACCUGUGCUAGUGUCACAAUACUGAGAUAUGCAUCAAGGGGAAAGGAAUAUAACAAAACAAUAGUGCAAGAAAGGAGAGAUGGACAAAGAGGAAGGUAUUUGCUAUGGGAGUGCCUGCUGUAAUGGAGGAGUGCUGGUGGAUACAUUCAUGGCAUAGUAACAACUGAACUAAAGGAAGACAAUUCUAAAGGAAGAAACCAGCUGCUUAUUUGUCAACAGGUAAAAACAAAAAAAAAUAUUUUCUGAUAAAAGGUCACUAAUUUUAAGUAUUUCUGAUUCUAGAAACACUUCCCCCGCCUCCCACCACCUACAACAAAUUUCAGUUAUAGCUCACUUGAUUGCAUCCAUCCAUACACACUCCUUACACUGUAUUAGUAAUGUUACUGAUUAAUAGAGCAUCAAUUUGUAUCCAGACUUAGACUUUCCCAAAAGAAGAUUUUAUCAAGAUGGGAAAUCUUAUUUUUUCAUGUGAUACUUUAAAUCAACUUUGCUGCUUCAUCCUCCCUUUCCCUCUGUUUUUCUCCCUCUCUGUCUUUUUCCACUGUGGCAAAAAAUUAUGAAAAAAAAUGUUUUUUGUUAUUCAAAUGGAAAACAGCAUGGCAAUGCUUCCAACAAAUGUCAAUGCAAAAGGCUAACUGUACUGUACUCAGUUUCAAAUAUGCAUCCUACUACAAUAGCUCUUUUAACAUCAGUUCCAUCAAUGGCUCUUUUACUAAAAUGUCCAUACAGCAAGAUUCAGAAUGAACAGAGCUUUGGUUUGAUGGCAAUGAAAGUUUUGGCUGUUUUGUGACUCGUUAACUAAUCACAUUCUCAUUUACAGAGCACAAGUUCAAAGGGUCAGCUAAAAUAAUAGGUUAAUUGCUGUCUUCAGAGGAAGACCUUAUUGUUCUAGUUGACCAAUUGCUAUAAUACCUUCUGUAAAAAAUUACUCUCAGUGAUAGAAAACUAUUUUCAUCUCACUAAACUCUGUAUUCAGCUGGCUAGACAGUGUUGCAUUACAUGCUUAUAUGCCUUUGUUCCCCUGUGACAAAUGAUAUUUCUUCUUCACAUAUCACUCUUGGUCAGCUGUGAGAAUGUGGAAUAUAUAUUUUUGUAAUCCUAUUGCUCAAAUAUCUAAAAAGGCUUUUUCCUAUUGAAGCACAAAACUGGUAUUAUAGGCAUAGGCAUGAUGCUGGCUAGACACUUGCUCAGGGGAGCAGGGGGCACAAGGUGCAUCCUUACUCCUUGGCAUAUCCGUAAUGCCAGUAGCAGUGCAGGGGGAGGGUGGGAGAACCUUCCAUAGGGCCGCUGUCACCCUUUCUGGGCAAGUGGGUAGAGAUGGGCAAGAAGAGGGCAGAGCCUCUCCCCCAGUGCAUCCCCCAGUACAGCUGAUCUAGAGUGGAGAGGGAAGGAAUCUGCCAGGUAUAGGUCUGGUGCAGAUAAUUUCCCCUUGGUGUAAGGGGACACCACGGAUGCUCAGUGAGGCAAAAUCUGGUUCUGCACUGCCCUUUACACAGGGCUUUUAGCAAAGUCACAGUCUAGCUCAGUAGUCCCCAAAUUAUGGGGCGUGCCCCUGAGAGUGUCAUGGAGAAAUGUUCAGGGGGUGCGUGGCGGGGCCCGGGCCAGUCCUCAUGUUGGGAGCACCUCCCAGCCCUGUUCCCAGUCAUACUCCACUCCACCCCCAGUCCAGCUCUGGUCCCAGUCGGAGCACCAUUCCACCCCUUACCCAGCUCCCACCCCAUCCAAAGCUCUCUCCGGCCCCAGCCCAGCUCUGCCCUCCUUCCCUCUCCACCCCCAGGCCAGUUCCACCUCUAGCCCCGGCUCCUCCUCCGGCCCCAGCUCCGCCUUCAGCCCAAAUUCUUCUGCUGAGCCAACUGUACUGUAAUGGGGUUGUGGGGGGAGGUCACAGACAGAUUCCAUUACUGGUAAGGGGGGGAGGCGUAACAGGAAUAGUUUGGCCACCACUGAUAGCUCUUUAUGGACAUUUCUUUCCAUACAGAAGGAGGUGAUGCAUGCAGGGCCGGCUCCAGGGUUGUGGCCGCCCCAAGCAGCCAAAAAAAAAAA